rnacentral:rRNA from 1 species
UACGAAGGGGGCUAGCGUUGCUCGGAAUCACUGGGCGUAAAGGGUGCGUAGGCGGGUCUUUAAGUCAGAGGUGAAAUCCUGGAGCUCAACUCCAGAACUGCCUUUGAUACUGAAGAUCUUGAGUUCGGGAGAGGUGAGUGGAACUGCGAGUGUAGAGGUGAAAUUCGUAGAUAUUCGCAAGAACACCAGUGGCGAAGGCGGCUCACUGGCCCGAUACUGACGCUGAGGCACGAAAGCGUGGGGAGCGAACAGG